rnacentral:rRNA from 1 species
UACGUAGGUGGCGAGCGUUGUCCGGAAUUACUGGGUGUAAAGGGCGUGUAGGCGGGAUUGUAAGUCAGAUGUGAAAUUCUGAGGCUUAACCUCAGCGCUGCAUCUGAAACUACAAUUCUUGAGUGCUGGAGAGGAAAGCGGAAUUCCUAGUGUAGCGGUGAAAUGCGUAGAUAUUAGGAGGAACACCAGUGGCGAAGGCGGCUUUCUGGACAGUAACUGACGCUGAGGCGGCGAAAAGCGUGGGGAGCCAAACAGGG